rnacentral:rRNA from 1 species
CAGUAGCCGCGGGAAUACGAAGGGGGCUAGCGUUGUUCGGAAUUACUGGGCGUAAAGCACACGUAGGCGGAUAUUUAAGUCAGGGGUGAAAUCCCAGAGCUCAACUCUGGAACUGCCUUUGAUACUGGGUAUCUUGAGUAUGGAAGAGGUGAGUGGAAUUCCGAGUGUAGAGGUGAAAUUCGUAGAUAUUCGGAGGAACACCAGUGGCGAAGGCGGCUCACUGGUCCAUUACUGACGCUGAGGUGCGAAAGCGUGGGGAGCAAACAGGAUUAGAUACCCCCGUAGUCCCUGUCUCUUAUAC